UUUUGUUUGAAGUUUUCGGAUGGACGACGGGAUAUCUUAGUGGCGAACGGGUGAGUAACACGUGAGUAACCUGCCUUUCAGAGGGGGACAACAUUUGGAAACGAAUGCUAAUACCGCAUAAGACCACGGUACCGCAUGGUAGAGAGGUCAAAGGAGAAAUCCGCUGAAAGAUGGGCUCGCGUCCGAUUAGGUAGUUGGUGAGGUAACGGCCCACCAAGCCGACGAUCGGUAGCCGGACUGAGAGGUUGAACGGCCACAUUGGGACUGAGACACGGCCCAGACUCCUACGGGAGGCAGCAGUGGGGGAUAUUGCACAAUGGGGGAAACCCUGAUGCAGCGACGCCGCGUGGAGGAAGAAGGUCUUCGGAUUGUAAACUCCUGUCCGAGGGGACGAUAAUGACGGUACCCUUGGAGGAAGCACCGGCUAACUACGUGCCAGCAGCCGCGGUAAAACGUAGGGUGCAAGCGUUGUCCGGAAUUACUGGGUGUAAAGGGAGCGCAGGCGGACUGUCAAGUUGGGAGUGAAAACUACGGGCUCAACCCGUAACUUGCUUUCAAAACUGGCGGUCUUGAGUGGUGUAGAGGUAGGCGGAAUUCCCGGUGUAGCGGUGGAAUGCGUAGAUAUCGGGAGGAACACCAGUGGCGAAGGCGGCCUACUGGGCACUAACUGACGCUGAGGCUCGAAAGCAUGGGUAGCAAACAGGAUUAGAUACCCUGGUAGUCCAUGCCGUAAACGAUGAUUACUAGGUGUGGGGGGGAUAGACCCCCUCCGUGCCGC
rnacentral:rRNA from 1 species